rnacentral:rRNA from 1 species
GGCGGCAGGCUUAACACAUGCAAGUCGAGCGGGCGUAGCAAUACGUCAGCGGCAGACGGGUGAGUAACGCGUGGGAACGUACCUUUUGGUUCGGAACAACACAGGGAAACUUGUGCUAAUACCGGAUAAGCCCUUACGGGGAAAGAUUUAUCGCCGAAAGAUCGGCCCGCGUCUGAUUAGCUAGUUGGUGAGGUAACGGCUCACCAAGGCGACGAUCAGUAGCUGGUCUGAGAGGAUGAUCAGCCACAUUGGGACUGAGACACGGCCCAAACUCCUACGGGAGGCAGCAGUGGGGAAUAUUGGACAAUGGGCGCAAGCCUGAUCCAGCCAUGCCGCGUGAGUGAUGAANGCCCUAGGGUUGUNAAGCUCUUUUGUGCGGGAAGAUAAUGACGGUACCGCAAGAAUAAGCCCCGGCUAACUUCGUGCCAGCAGCCGCGGUAAUACNAANGGGGCUAGCGUUGCUCGGAAUCACUGGGCGU